rnacentral:misc_RNA from 1 species
UCCGAUUUAUCAUCGGCAGUCUCGCUAGAGUGCUCAACUAAAUGGUAGCAACUAACAAUAGGGGUUGCGCUCGUUGCGGGACUUAACCCAACAUCUCACGACACGAGCUGACGACGGCCAUGCAACACCUGUCUAUACCCGGCCGAACCGAAACGAUCUGUUUCCAGAAAGUAAAAUAUAGAUGUCAAGGGCUGGUAAGGUUCCUCGCGUAUCAUCGAAUUAAACAACAUGCUCCACCGCUUGUGCGGGUCCCCGUCAAUUCCUUUGAGUUUUAAUCUUGCGAUCGUAAUCCCCAGGCGGUGUACUUAUCGCGUUAGCUUAGCCACCGACAUGUAAACAUGCCGAUAGCGAGUACACAUCGUUUAGGGCGUGGACUAC